rnacentral:rRNA from 1 species
GUAGGUGGCAAGCGUUAUCCGGAUUUAUUGGGCGUAAAGGGAACGCAGGCGGUCUUUUAAGUCUGAUGUGAAAGCCCCCGGCUUAACCGAGGAAUUGCAUCGGAAACUGUGUUUCUUGAGUGCAGAAGAGGAGAGUGGAACUCCAUGUGUAGCGGUGGAAUGCGUAGAUAUAUGGAAGAACACCAGUGGCGAAGGCGGCUCUCUGGUCUGUAACUGACGCUGAGGUUCGAAAGCGUGGGUAGCAA